UUAGAGUUUGAUCCUGGCUCAGGAUGAACGCUAGCGGCAGGCUUAACACAUGCAAGUCGAGGGGCAGCAUGUCCAGCAAUGGAUGAUGGCGACCGGCGGAAGGGUGCGUAACGCGUGAGCAACAUGCCCUAUACAGGGAGAUACACCAGGGAAACUUGGUCUAAUAUCCCAUAGCAUUCAUUGAAGGCAUCUUUAAUGAAUUAAAGCUUCGGUGGUAUAGGAUUGGCUCGCGUGACAUUAGCCAGAUGGUGAGGUAACGGCCCACCAUAGCAAUGAUGUCUAGGGGUUUUGAGAGGAAGGCCCCCCACACUGGGACUGAGACACGGCCCAGACUCCUACGGGAGGCAGCAGUGAGGAAUAUUGGACAAUGGAUGGAAAUCUGAUCCAGCCAUGCCGCGUGCAGGAAGACGGCCUUAUGGGUUGUAAACUGCUUUUAUACGGGAGCAAUAAGGGUUACGAGUAAUCCGAUGAGAGUACUGUAUGAAUAAGGAUCGGCUAACUCCGUGCCAGCAGCCGCGGUAAUACGGAGGAUCCGAGCGUUAUCCGGAAUUAUUGGGUUUAAAGGGUGCGUAGGCGGCCAUUUAAGUCAGCGGUGAAAUUUUGCAGCUUAACUGUAACAGUGCCGUUGAUACUGUUUGGCUAGGAUUUGGUUGUAGUGUGCGGAAUGUGUGGUGUAGCGGUGAAAUGCUUAGAUAUCACACAGAACACCGAUUGCGAAGGCAGCACACUAAGUCAUUAUUGACGCUGAGGCACGAAAGUGUGGGGAUCAAAUCAGGAUUAGAUACCCUGGUAGUCCACACUGUAAACGAUGAUAACUCGCUGCCGGCGAUACCCAGUCGGGUGGCCAAGCGAAAAGCAUUAA
rnacentral:rRNA from 1 species